rnacentral:lncRNA from 1 species
GUGAAGUCUUGCUUGAGAAUACUCCAAGCACUUGGCUGUGGAAGGAAGAAUGGAAAUUACAAUAACAAAAUCCUAAUUCUAAUAGAAUACUAACAAUGCUCUAACUAGACUAUAAUAAUGCUAAGCAAGCUUAAUUAAAUUCAAAAAACCUCAAAGAAAUUUCAAAUAAACAAUAAAAAUUCUUAAAAAAACAUUAGAAAGAAUACAAAUAUCACUCAAAUACAUCUCAAUUCAAUCUUAAUUUAAUUCUAGUUAAAAUCCUAUUGAACUUCAUUCAAACUUUAGGUCAAAACUAAUUGAAUCUUAAAUCCUAAAAAAAUCCUAAAUCCUAAAUCAAACCCUAAACAAACCUUAAAUCCUAAAUAAAAUCCUAACCGAAUCCUAAAUCAAACCCUAAAUCCUAAACCAAAUCCUAACUAAAUCCUAAACCCUAAAUAAAACCUAACCAAAUCCUAAAAUAAACCCUAAAUCCGAAAUCAAACCCUAAUCUCUAAAUCAAAUCCUAAUCCAAAUUGUCAACCCUAAAUCAAAUCCUAAACCAAAUCCUAAACUCUUAACCAAAUCUUAACUAAAAUCUAAAUCCUAAAUCUAAAUCCUAAUCAAAUCCUAAAUCCUAAAUUAAAUCCUAAUCCAAAUCCUAAACCAAAUUCUAAACUCUAAAUCAAACCCUAAUCCAAACCCUAAAUCCUAAAUCAAAUCCUAAUCAAAUCCUAAAUCCUAAAUAAAUUCCUAACCAAAUCCUAAACCAAACCCUAACCAAAUCCUAAACCAAAUCCUAAACCCUAAAUCAAAUCCUAAUCUAAAUCCUAAAUCCUAAACC